rnacentral:rRNA from 1 species
AUUGAACGCUGGCGGCAGGCUUAACACAUGCAAGUCGAACGGUAACAGGAAGAAAGCUUGCUUUCUUUGCUGACGAGUGGCGGACGGGUGAGUAAUGCUUGGGAAUCUGCCUUAUGGAGGGGGAUAACUACGGGAAACUGUAGCUAAUACCGCGUAAUAUCUUCGGAUUAAAGUGUGGGACCUUCGGGCCACAUGCCAUAAGAUGAGCCCAAGUGAGAUUAGGUAGUUGGUGAGGUAAAGGCUCACCAAGCUGACGAUCUCUAGCUGGUUUGAGAGGAUGACCAGCCACACUGGAACUGAGACACGGUCCAGACUCCUACGGGAGGCAGCAGUGGGGAAUAUUGCACAAUGGGCGCAAGCCUGAUGCAGCCAUGCCGCGUGAAUGAAGAAGGCUUUCGGGUUGUAAAGUUCUUUCAACGAUGAGGAAGGUUGUGUAUCUAAUAGGUAUGCAAAUUGACGUUAGUCGCAGAAGAAGCACCGGCCAACUCCGUGCCAGCAGCCGCGGUAAUACGGAGGGUGCGAGCGUUAAUCGGAAUAACUGGGCGUAAAGGGCACGCAGGCGGUUGUCUAAGUCAGAUGUGAAAGCCCCGAGCUUAACUUGGGAAUUGCAUUUGAGACUGGGCGACUAGAGUCCUCUAGGGAGGGGUAGAAUUCCACGUGUAGCGGUGAAAUGCGUAGAGAUGUGGAGGAAUACCGAAGGCGAAGGCAGCCCCUUGGAGAGAGACUGACGCUGAGGUGCGAAAGCGUGGGUAGCAAACAGG